rnacentral:lncRNA from 1 species
CUUGGCAAGAAAUAUUGCCGCUUAUGGUUACGAGCCUUCCGCGUCAAGCGACGAAGAGGACCAGGUGGCCGUGGACGUGCCGGUCAGGCAGCCCGGGCCAGCAACAUGGUGCUCCUGCGGUCACCGCUGCGGCGACAUGCCUACAGAAAGAGAGAGGGUCUGUUGCACAGAGCUACAAAAGGUGG